AUUUAUUGAAAUGGAAAAGAAAGAGGAAUUGAGAUUGAUCUCUUUUUCCAUCAGUAUUUUUAAACCAUCAAGACCUCUUGCUCAGGGCAUCAGCCGAUAUCAUAUUUUAGAAACAAGAAUAAGGAAGAGGAAGAGGGGUGUA